CUGAUGUCAAACACUUCCGCUUUGAGAAUUCUUCCAUCAUCUUCUUUAUAGUUCUCUCCUCCAUAAGAUUAAGCUCACCUACCCUCUGAUUCAUUCAGUAGGAUGAGAGCUGCCCUAAAUUACUGCCAUUCUUAAAACUUCUUGGCUCCUACUCACCAUGUAGGCCAUCCCCUGCCUCUGCCUGCCCCAUCCAUGUUUUCCAUGAGUGACCUAAACUACUACUGCCUGGAAGUCUUAGCUUCAGUUUAUUUUUAUUUUCCUUUCACAAACUAUUGUUUACAUGGUCUCCACCCCCUUUGUAGAAGAUCCUCCUUCUAUGGUAGUAAAAGCCAAGUAGGGAAGUGAAGAAAGCUACCUGGAUUUGGAACCUGUGACUGAAAGAUAUAGUGACUCUUGCCCAUAUGUUGUGCAGUGCAUGAAGCCAGAAGAUAAUUUUCAAAGCCCAUCUCAAGCAAGGCUCCAAAAGUGAAAAUGGUGGUGAUGGGCCAAAAGUUCACCAGAGCAAAGGAGUGUGAUCCAUAGAUUCCCACGGGAUGGUGAAUAGUCAGAGUAUAAAAGGGACAAGACAAAUCUGAUCCAUGAAUGGGAGCCCAAAGAGAAUGACCAGAGGAGCUGGGCCACAGUAUGCUGCUGGGUUUUCAUAAGCAUAUAGAAGCAUAUUAUCCUAGAUUGAUUUUUAUAGGUUUUUAUGGAUAUUUUCAAUGAUUAAUGGAGACCAUCUUUAAAAUGAGUAGCAGUGAAAUUUAAUCUAUCCUUUCCACUUCAGUGGAAUGUGAGCUAAAUGGAUCACCUUGGACUGGUGAGUUCAAUCAGGAUUUGUAAAUAUUUACUUAUUUAUUUAGUCUUUUUGCCAUUUCUUGGGCCGCUCCCACGGCAUAUGGAGGUUCCCAGGCUAGGGGUCCAAUCGGAGCUACAGCUGCUGGCCUAUACCAGAGCCACAGCAAUGCGGGAUUCGAACUGAGUCUGUGACCUACACCACAGCUCACGGCAAUGCCAGAUCCUUAACCCACUGAGCGAGGCCAGGGAUUGAACCCACAACCUCAUGGUUCCUCGUUGGAUUCGUUAACCACUGAGCCAGGACAGGAACUCCAGGAUUUGCACAAGGAAACAAGGAAUAUUAUUAUUAUUAUUUUUUUUUUGUCUUUUGUCUUUUUGUUGUUGUUGUUGUUGUUGUUGUUAUUGUUGCUAUUUCUUAGGCCGCUCCCGCGGCAUAUGGAGGUUCCCAGGCUAGGGGUUGAAUCGGAACUGUAGCCACCGGCCUACGCCAGAGCCACAGCAACUCGGGAUCCGAGCCGCAUCUGCAACCUACACCACAGCUCACGGCAACGCCGGAUCGUUAACCCACUGAGCAAGGGCAGGGACCGAACCCGCAACCUCAUGGUUCCUAGUCGGAUUCGUUAACCACUGCGCCACGACGGGAACUCCAAGGAAUAUUAUUAAAUGAAAUUUGCUCCAUGCUUUUCAUGAUUCUUUCCCCACCCCGCCCCUCUGUCUUUUGAAUGUGAUUGUGAAUUGACUUACUGAUAUAUUCUGUAUUCUACUGGCCUGGGGAUCUGGGAGAAAAGGAAAAGGUAUAAGAUGGCUAAGAGGAAAAGGGAAAAUGAUAUAAUGAAGCAGAAAGCAAGAGGGAACUACUGAAGAAUUUGGGGACAGUGGAAAUCUUACAGCCUAACGGUUCUUUGACAGACUCCUUGUGAGCAUAUUUACUCACCUUUAAAAGGCAGAGGAAUGGAGGCUUACUGCUUAUGAUGGUAUCCGUGGGCUACAUUCAGGUCCCUGUACAGGCUGAAUACCUUCUCUUUUCAGCAGGGACCUUUUUGUGAAAUUUUGAGGAUAUGGCUAAUGAUUCAUCAAAUGCUUUGCUGCAUUCCAAACCACCCUUGUGUUGGGCCAGGGAGACAUAUAUUUUCCUCUCAGAAGAGCAGAACCAGACUGGUUUGUCUUCAGGCAGCUGUUGAGACCUGUAUGGUAACCCACCAGGAGCCUCUGAAAGAGGCUUCCUCCCACCUGCUCUAUCCCAGGGAGGUGUUAGGAUCACAGAAGGCCUCCAACCAACUGUGUGCUUGAUCUCCAGCCCUGAAGAGGGACUAAGCCAGAUGCUUUUGCCUUCUGUACAAGGACCCUAUUCAAUCAAGAGCCAGUCACCAAAUCUAAAGGUUAAAAAAUAAAGAAGAAUCAGUCAUCUUCCUAUCCAAUAUUCAAUAUCGACUUUAAUUAAAAUGGAUACCUAUUUAAAUUAUUUAAAGAGGGUAGCUCUUUGAUCAUGAGUGCUUAUUUCCAAAGAUUGAAGACAGCAGAACUCAGCUUCCCCAGGUCCUAAUUAAAGGUGAGAGCCUGAAUUAGCAUGUAACUACUUGCUAUGUUUGUCACAUCAUUAGUAAAAGUAGUUUCAAUGUUCUUUUUUUUUUUCUUACUUAAAUAUUGCUCCCACACAAGCAAAGAGCCCCAGCUCUCCGUCCCAGAAAAGGCUGGUGGGUCUUGUUCAGUUUGGAGGAUUCAUGACAGAUACAAAUGCUAAUAAUUCUUUGGAAACAAUAGAGAAAAUACUUCAGAAUUCCCCAAGCAUUUUAAAACUCUUUCUCAUUCUAAUAUUUGCUGAAGACCGAUUAUGUGAAAUUUGAUCUCACUUAUUUCUAAAACAAGUAGCUGAAUGGCUCUUGGUAACUAGGCAGCAUUGAAAUUUGUUAACUUCCUUUCUAAUGAACCAAUAUUUGAAAAAUUAAAAUGAGAGAAAUAGUUAAGAUAGGUUCAGAUUUUUUAUUACCCCCUUACAAUUAUAUAGGCAAGGAAAUCAGCUAUCCUGCAGCAUAAUGUAACCUCAAGGGAACUGGGAUUUGAUAGGUUAUGUACAAGGGAUGAUGGGAAUUGCAAGAAGCAGGAGUUUUUCCAGUAUCCCAUGAUGAGCUGAGGUUCCUGGGAUGUUACAGAAGCAUACAAAGGAUUCAGGGGACAAGAAGAUUUUUGUUCUCCUUUGCUUAUUUUUAUGUGGCCCUUGAUUUCAGUCUCCUUUAGAAAUCAUCAGUUCUUUACUUCAACUACCCAUCAUUACUUCUCUCCAUCUGAUAACAGCCUUUACCCCUUGGGCACAGGGAUAUGACCAUGAAGCAAGUUAGAGCAACAUGUUUCUGGACAGAAUGGUUAGCAAACAAUAUGUUAUAAUAUUAGUCAAAUUGGGAUGCUCUCUGGGAAAAUUUUCAAUUGUAGUUGCUAGAGAAGUGCUCAUUUCUUCCCAGUGGGGAGCUAAAAAGAAGUGAGCCAAGAGUAGCAGAAAGUCAUGUUUUGUCUUAGAGGAGCUAAAGAUUUUAAAAGCCACAAUGUACAAACAGAAUCAUAACUGUAUCUGAAGUCCUAGUCCCAGAUGUCUCAAUGGCCAGAUGUCUCCCACUUUUUCUGUAGUUCAAUUGUAUAAGCCAAUGCAGAUCUCUUUUGUUUACUGACUGAAACAAUAACCUCAAAUAUAAAAGUGACUUCCUCUACUGCUCCAUUGUGUUUGAAUUGAGUGCUAUUUUCUCUAGUAUAUCAGCUCAGAAUGGUAUAUGGCUAUAAGUGUAAGAAGGAAGAGAGGAAGGGAGGGAGGAAGGAAGCAGAGAGGAAAAAAGGAAGAAAGUUACAUUCUUACCUCAUACAGAAAUUAAUUCAAAAUGAAUCAUAGACACAAGUGGAAGAAUGAAAACUAUAAAAACUUCUAGAAGAAAAUAUAAAUGUAAAUUUUUGUGGUUUGGAUUAAGCAAUGGUUUCAUAGAUAAAACACCAAAAAAGAUAUACGAACAUCUAAUAAGUACAUGAAAAGAUGCUCAGAAUUGUACCUCAGUGUUCAGAAAAGUAUUUUUACAAUUACCAAGAUAUGGAAGCAACCUAGCUGUCCAUCAAUAGAUGAACAGAUAAAGAAGAUGUACCCCCCCACACACAUACAUUGGAAUACUACUCAGCCAUAAAAAAGAAUGAAAAUUUUUGCCAUUUCCAACAACAUGGAUUGACUUGGAGGGCAUUAUGCUAAGCAAAAUAAUUCAGAGAAAGGCUAAUAACUACAUGAUAUCACUUACAUAUGAAAUCUAAAAUAUAAAACCAGUGAUUUUUUCUUUUUUUAAAGAAAGAGACUCAUAGAGAAAAAAACUAGUGGUUACUAGUGAGGAGAGGGAAAGCAGAUGGGCAAGGUAGGGGUAUGGAAUUAAGAGGUAAAAACAACUGUGUAUAAAAUCAAUAAAUCACAAGAAUCUAUCGUACAAUGUAGGGAAUAUAGCCAAUAUUUUGUAACUAUAAAUGGAGCAUAUCCUUUAAAAAUCAUGAAUCACAGGUGUUACACACUUGAAACUCAUAUAAUAUUGUACAUAAAUUACACCUCAAUUAAAAUCCUCAAAAUCAUUAGUCAUUAGGGAAAUGCGCAUUGAAACCACAAUGAGAUCCUCUUCAUAACCAUUAGUAUCACCAGUAUUAAUAAGAUGAAGAAUAAAUAUGUUGGUGAGGAUGUGGAGAAAUUGAAAUUUAUAUUAAAACGUCCAGAAGUGAGGGGGAGGUACAUUAGUAGUUGCCAGGUCUGGGGGUAAAGUGGAUGGGGAGAGACUGCUAAUGGGUAUGGGAUUUCUUUGGAGGAUGACGACAAAGCUCUGGAAUUAGAUAGUGGGGAUGGUUGCAACAACUCUGUGAAUAUACUAAAAACCCUGGACUUGUACAUUUUUAAGGGGUAGAUUCCAUUGUAUGUGAAUUAUAUAUCAUAAAAUUGUUAUUAGAAAAACAACAAAAUAAAUAGUUUGGACUAUAUAAAUUCCCAAAGCAAAAUUUAAGAGGGGAGGGUUUUUUUUUGUUUGUUUUUUAAAUUAAUUUCCUACAUUUUUUUUAAAUGGUGGGUUCAUAGGGGAAAAAAAAAAACUGUUUAGAGCUCUGAGAAUGUGGAACAAAAUUGUCUAGAUAAAUGAUUAGCUGCUGAUCAGAUUUUUUUUUAACCACAGAAGCUACAUGGACAAAUAAAAUUUCCUGGAAAAAUUGCAAGGCAAUUUCAAAGGAUCCCAGCCCUGCAGUCCUCAUAUACAACUAGAACUAAUCUACACAAACCUGGCUUCAAAUCCUAUCACUGCCAUUUAGUCUUUAUAGACAUAAUAAAGCUGGUGUUCAACAACCUGAUUUCUCUUAAGGAGUACACCACGGGCUGUGAUAUAGUUGUGACAUCCUUUCCAUGUUAACAACUUGGACGGCCUGCAGACAGGUGGUCCCUUCCCUUCCUCUCCACUCUAUGCACAUUCCUUGCAGAAUGUAGACUCCAUCAAAGCGAAAAAAAACUUUUUAGGAGAGAAACAUGUAGGAAGUGCUCUGGUUCUCUCUACCAGAAAUCUAUUAAUGGAUGUACCUUGUGCCAUAUUGAGCAAAAUGUGUGCUUUCUCUUUUUCAGCUAAAGUUGACCAGCAUGACUAAUACUAAAGGGCUUGGUCCUUAAAUCCACUAAAGUUUAGCAUUUGGGUCAUGUGGGAGGCUGAAACACAACAGAAGCUCUCAUACAGAAAUGCCCUAGACACUACAGGAAAAGCUCCUGGAAAAGGGUACAGGGAAUCCAAAUAAGGAGUCAAUCUACUUCUACAUCUUUGUAUGCUCCUUGCUGCUACUCAUGAAGGUAGGCUGUUCUCACCUGGAGGACCAAUUAUCCUCUAUGAAUCUCAUGAUGACAUGCUAUCAACUGAAAAAGGAAGCACAGUCCACUACUGUACUUACUACAAUGGCUCAGAUAUUAGGGGAGGGGAUAGUGACACAUGUUCAUAAAUACAAAAUGAAAAGCUCCCUUUUAUUUUCUUAUGUCCAACAUAUUAGAAGAAAUUUUGCCUUUCCAGCUGCUAGCCAUCCCUCUCCAAAGGAACACUGAUUCAUUCAUUUUUUGCUUUUGCUGAGGUUGUGAGACCUAUUAUUCUGGGUCUGACAUCUCUUUUCAUUUAACUUUCCAAGAUCUACAGGACAGUAAAAAUGAAUCUAUGUAUUAUGGUGUGUUUAAGGAAACUUGGGAUUAAGAAUGGGGGAGGAGGCAAAGAGGAAAAGGGUGUAUUCCUUUGAUCCACAACUGCACAAAGAAAGGCAUGGUACAAGGCUUGGAAAAUCCUAGUUUCUUUAAAAAAAUGAAUCUGAAAUAACUCUUUUAUGCUGUAUAUUAAAGCUAGAACUGAGUUUAGCCAACCAUGGAUACUUUAUGAGAUUGGAUCUUAAUCAUAUUGAUUUAUCACUACCCCCAAAAAUAUAUCUGACCAAAGUUUCUGAGAAAUACACUCUU
rnacentral:lncRNA from 1 species